CUAACGUGGAUCCGUAAUCCGGGUUGCGGACAGUGUCUGGUGGGUAGUUUGACUGGGGCGGUCUCCUCCUAAAGAGUAACGGAGGAGCACGAAGGUUGGCUAAUCCUGGUCGGACAUCAGGAGGUUAGUGCAAUGGCAUAAGCCAGCUUGACUGCGAGCGUGACGGCGCGAGCAGGUGCGAAAGCAGGUCAUAGUGAUCCGGUGGUUCUGAAUGGAAGGGCCAUCGCUCAACGGAUAAAAGGUACUCCGGGGAUAACAGGCUGAUACCGCCCAAGAGUUCAUAUCGACGGCGGUGUUUGGCACCUCGAUGUCGGCUCAUCACAUCCUGGGGCUGAAGUAGGUCCCAAGGGUAUGGCUGUUCGCCAUUUAAAGUGGUACGCGAGCUGGGUUUAGAACGUCGUGAGACAGUUCGGUCCCUAUCUGCCGUGGGCGCUGGAGAACUGAGGGGGGCUGCUCCUAGUACGAGAGGACCGGAGUGGACGCAUCACUGGUGUUCGGGUUGUCAUGCCAAUGGCACUGCCCGGUAGCUAAAUGCGGAAGAGAUAAGUGCUGAAAGCAUCUAAGCACGAAACUUGCCCCGA
rnacentral:rRNA from 2 species